AAAAAAAAAUUAUGGCAGGUAACCUGACUAAACUCAGGGUAUCAGAGGCAGUAAACAAAAACAAUAUAACUAAUUUAUAGGGGAGACUGACACAAUACAGAAGGAAAAAAAUAGUAACAUUAGAAGAGGGAAACUUCAAGGUAACAUACGCGAGAAAAUAAAAAGGAAAAUAAGAGCACCAGCCAGUGGUAAAGAAAGAAGCGAAGGCAUCAACUGCGAGGCAAGAGUGGUGCAGAAGAGGUGCAGAGGAGCAAAGAGAAAGGCACACUGGGCAAAUGGCUGUCCCGGUCGUCAGGUCUGCGGACAUGUAAGAAAAGCAUGGCCGGCACCUUUGGUGUCCUCGCCAGCUUUGCAAAUUGGAGAGAAGGAGCUUCCGUUUGCCUUUGGGACCAGGGCUGCCCCAUAACUCGGGGCCCAGCCAGUGCCCUAGUGUCCACUUUGUGGUCCAGGCAGGGGCUUGAGCCCCCUAUAAGCAGGGGUGCAGCCUGUCUGGCUGCUGCUUUGCCUGCCCAGCUCUGUUUGCCCAGGGUGCCCGCCUCUGAGCCCAGCUCCAGCACCAGCUGGACCUCUUGUACGUGUCCUUCAGUGGCAGCCGGUGGCGAAGAAAGAAGAGGCAUCAUGUGGAACUGUGAGGCAAGAGUGAUGAAGUAAAGGUCUGAAAUGAAAGAUGCUCCCUGGGAAUGCUUGUUAAAAGAAGAAGUACUUCUGUCUGCAUCUGGUGAAGUCAGCCCCAAAGUAGAUGAAAUACUAAACAGCACUGGCCAGAGAUUAUGCACCCUGAUGCUCAUAGUGUCCCGACUACUAUUGGAAAAUGGUUGUCCAUGUGUUUUUGUUAAUGAAUUGACCAGACGGAGAAAAAAAUACAGAGAAUAUACAGAAAUCCCUACUAAAAAAGAUUCAAGUAGUCAUGAAGUUCAAAACCAGCACCAGUGGUGUUUCAGUCUGACAGAUCACCUGCAUGAAAUGGUGGAGUUCAAGAUCCUUAGGGCUGUGAGGAGGUUGCACAGCAUGUUUACUACCCUGGACUUCAGGAGAGCAGACUUUGGCCUCUUCUGGGAUUAG
rnacentral:lncRNA from 1 species